rnacentral:rRNA from 1 species
CUAGGGGGUCAUCCCGACUUACCAACCCGAUGCAAACUACGAAUACCGAAGAAUGUUAUCACGGGAGACACACGGCGGGUGCUAACGUCCGUCGUGAAGAGGGAAACAACCCAGACCGCCAGCUAAGGUCCCAAAGUCAUGGUUAAGUGGGAAACGAUGUGGGAAGGCCCAGACAGCCAGGAUGUUGGCUUAGAAGCAGCCAUCAUUUAAAGAAAGCGUAAUAGCUCACUGGUCGAGUCGGCCUGCGCGGAAGAUGUAACGGGGCUAAACCAUG